rnacentral:rRNA from 1 species
UCCAUGUGUAGCGGUGAAAUGCGUAGAUAUAUGGAGGAACACCGGUGGCGAAAGCGGCUCUCUGGUCUGUAACUGACGCUGAGGCUCGAAAGCGUGGGGAGCGAACAGGAUUAGAUACCCUGGUAGUCCACGCCGUAAACGAUGAGUGCUAGGUGUUAGGCCCUUUCCGGGGCUUAGUGCCGCAGCUAACGCAUUAAGCACUCCGCCUGGGGAGUACGACCGCAAGGUUGAAACUCAAAGGAAUUGACGGGGGCCCGCACAAGCGGUGGAGCAUGUGGUUUAAUUCGAAGCAACGCGAAGAACCUUACCAGGUCUUGACAUCCCGAUGCCCGCUCUAGAGAUAGAGUUUUACUUCGGUACAUCGGUGACAGGUGGUGCAUGGUUGUCGUCAGCUCGUGUCGUGAGAUGUGGGGUUAAGUCCCGCAACGAGCGCAACCCUUAUUGUUAGUUGCCAUCAUUCAGUUGGGCACUCUAGCGAGACUGCCGGUAAUAAACCGGAGGAAGGUGGGGAUGACGUCAAAUCAUCAUGCCCCUUAUGACCUGGGCUACACACGUGCUACAAUGGCUGGUACAACGAGUCGCAAGUCGGUGACGGCAAGCUAAUCUCUUAAAGCCAGUCUCAGUUCGGAUUGUAGGCUGCAACUCGCCUACAUGAAGUCGGAAUCGCUAGUAAUCGCGGAUCAGCACGCUGCGGUGAAUACAUUCCCGGGCCUUGUACACACCGCCCGUCACACCACGAGAGUUUGUAACACCCGAAGUCGGUGA